UGUCCUCGACCUAUUCUCAAACUUUAAAUGGGUAAGAUCCAGUGGUUACUUGGGUGAACUUCUGGGAUAAAUGACAACUCUAAGUGGGCCAUUUUUGGUAAGCAGAACUGGCGAUGCGGGAUGAACCGGAAGCCGGGUUACGGUGCCUAACUACGCGCUAACCUAGAUCCCACAAAGGGUGUUGGUCGAUUAAGACAGCAGGACGGUGGU
rnacentral:rRNA from 11 species